CUGGCAUGAACGGUUGUAGGUGAGUAAAGGGUAGUGCCUUUUAUUGAAACCUUCUAAUUUAACGACGGAUCUACAUUCCCAACACUAAUAAAGUAAUAAAAGAGACUUUUAUUUAAUUUUCAUUUAUUAAUAUUAGUAAGAAACUUUUUGUAAGCCUGUAAUAACCCAACGCUUGGCCACCACCAACCUUAUUUCAUGACCCCAUUCAGAAAAAGAAAUGUACGUGCAAUUGUAAGUGACUGGAUAUUCAACAGAAACAUGUAAAGACAUUAUUGCUAGUGAUGUCAUGAGUUCCUGAAUUUGACGAUGCGCUCGCGUUACCUUACAUGAUUGAGCAACCAUUUGGGUUCUCGUCGCUAAAACAUUCACCGCGGCUCGUGUAACAGUAGCUAUACCCGCCGCCGCCGCCCCAGCUGUCAUAAACUGGCCUACCGUAAGUCUGGUAACAUGGGCGUAGGGGUGGAGGUGGUCCACCAUAAUAGCAAGGUCCCCCACCAACGCCAUGAUAGCAUUCCGUGCAACAGCAUCCGAUGGGGGGAUAAGCCAUUGGUGGUGGAGGACAAGGUUCUGGAACCUUUGGUGCUGCUGCUGGCGGUUUCGGUGGUGGUUCUUUUCGUUUCUCAGGUUCCUUAGGCUUUUCGGGUUGUUUAGGUUUCUCGGGUUCUUUGGGUUUUUCGGGUUCUUUCGGCUUUUCGGGUUGUUUAGGUUUCUCGGGUUCUUUGGGUUUUUCGGGUUCUUUUGGUUUUUCGGGUGCUUUAGGCUUUUCGGGUUCUUUUGGUUUUUCUGGUACUUUAGGCUUCUCUGGUUCUUUGGGUUUUUCAGGUUCUUUGGGCUUUUCGGGUUCUUUAGGCUUCUCAGGCUCCUUGGGUUUGGGAGGAGGAGGUGGAGGUUUGAUCUCAAUGCUCUUGAUUGAUCCAGCACCCUUGCAACAUAUCUUGUCCCUCAGCUUCUCAGGAUUGCAGCAUACCACAGUAAUGGUCACGGUGUUGGCUUUCUCAUUGUAUAUCUGGUCUCGUAUUUCUCUUGUUCGCAAAAACCCAUCAUCAAAAAAUUAUCAACUUAAACCAUAUAAAAAACUACUUUGCAAUUAUUAAAAUGCUAAACACAAAAAGGACAAGCAUAAAAAUCAGGAA
rnacentral:lncRNA from 1 species